GGGUCUAUAGCUCAGUAGUAGAGCAUUUGACUGUAGAUCAAGAAGUCACCAGUUUGAUUCUGGUUGGGCCCU